CAGCAAGCGGGGAACUAUUUCAAAUCCGUUUUAAAACUGGGGGAUUCCUGCCGGUAAAGUAUCGAAGACUGGUCAAUACUCACAUUACUGAUGUGCGGCACCUCCCCCCAAGUGCCCGUCAGGCGGAACGGCGUGGGAACGCCUGUUCCGGUUUCACUCCUAAUGGUCUUGACCCGGAUUCCCCCAGAACCCGG
rnacentral:sRNA from 1 species